rnacentral:miRNA from 1 species
AGGUUUUUUGUUUUUUUUUU